rfam:Nasonia vitripennis chromosome 1, whole genome shotgun sequence.
GUAGACGUUAGCUCAGUGGUUAGAGCACAGGCCUCUGGCUCUCGGGUCCGCGAGUUCGAGUCCCGUCGUCUACU